GCACCCGUAGCUUAAUUGGAUAGAGUUCUGCCCUCCGAAGGCAGAGGUUACAGGUUCGAAUCCUGUCGGGUGCA
rnacentral:tRNA from 1 species